CUACGUGCCAGCAGCCGCGGUAAUACGUAGGGUGCGAGCGUUAAUCGGAAUUACUGGGCGUAAAGCGAGCGCAGACGGUUACUUAAGCAGGAUGUGAAAUCCCCGGGCUCAACCUGGGAACUGCGUUCUGAACUGGGUAGCUAGAGUAUGUCAGAGGGGGGUAGAAUUCCACGUGUAGCAGUGAAAUGCGUAGAGAUGUGGAGGAAUACCGAUGGCGAAGGCAGCCCCCUGGGAUAAUACUGACGUUCAUGCUCGAAAGCGUGGGUAGCAAACAGGAUUAGAUACCCUGGUAGUCCACGCCCUAAACGAUGUCGAUUAGCUGUUGGGCAGCUUGACUGCUUAGUAGCGUAGCUAACGCGUGAAAUCGACCGCCUGGGGAGUACGGUCGCAAGAUUAAAACUCAAAGGAAUUGACGGGGACCCGCACAAGCGGUGGAUGAUGUGGAUUAAUUCGAUGCAACGCGAAGAACCUUACCUGGUCUUGACAUCCCUCUGACCGCUCUAGAGAUAGAGUUUUCUUCGGGACA
rnacentral:rRNA from 1 species